AGCAGCCGCGGUAAUUCCAGCUUCAAUAGCGUAUAUUAAAGUUGUUGCAGUUAAAAAGCUCGUAGUUGAAUUUCGGGGUUAGUAGGUUGGUCAUGCCUCUGGUAUGUACUGGUCUCACUGAUUCCUCCUUCCUGAUGAGCCGUAAUGCCAUUAAUUUGGUGUUGCGGGGAAUUUGGACUGUUACUUUGAAAAAUUGAGUGUUUAAAGCAGGCUAACGCUUGAAUACAUUAGCAUGGAAUAAUGAAAUAGGACGUUUGAUCCUAUUUUGUUGGUUUCUAGGAUCGACGUAAUGAUUAAUAGGGAUAGUUGGGGGCAUUAGUAUUCAAUUGUCAGAGGUGAAAUUCUUGGAUUUAUUGAAGACUAACUACUGCGAAAGCAUUUGCCAAGGAUGUUCCAUUAUCAAGAACGAAAGUUAGGGGAUCGAAGACGAUCAGAUACCGUCGUAGUCUUAACCAUAAA
rnacentral:rRNA from 1 species